rnacentral:rRNA from 1 species
CACGGGGCGCAGCAGGCGCGAAACCUCCGCAAUGCACGCAAGUGCGACGGGGGAACCCCAAGUGCCACUCUUAAGCGGGGUGGCUUCUCAGAAGUGUAAAAACGCUCUGAAUGUGACGGCGUUCCC